rnacentral:rRNA from 1 species
AUUCGAUUCCCUUAGUAGCGGCGAGCGAAACGGGAAGAGCCCAAACCAACAAGCUUGCUUGUUGGGGUUGUAGGACACUCUAUACGGAGUUACAAAGGACGACAUUAGACGAAUCAUCUGGAAAGAUGAAUCAAAGAAGGUAAUAAUCCUGUAGUCGAAAAUGUUGUCUCUCUUGAGUGGAUCCUGAGUACGACGGAGCACGUGAAAUUCCGUCGGAAUCUGGGAGGACCAUCUCCUAAGGCUAAAUACUCUCUAGUGACCGAUAGUGAACCAGUACCGUGAGGGAAAGGUGAAAAGCACCCCGGAAGGGGAGUGAAAUAGAACCUGAAACCGUGUGCUUACAAGUAGUCAGAGCCCGUUAAUGGGUGAUGGCGUGCCUUUUGUAGAAUGAACCGGCGAGUUACGAUUUGAUGCAAGGUUAAGCAGUAAAUGUGGAGCCGUAGCGAAAGCGAGUCUGAAUAGGGCGUUUAGUAUUUGGUCGUAGACCCGAAACCAGGUGAUCUACCCUUGGUCAGGUUGAAGUUCAGGUAACACUGAAUGGAGGACCGAACCGACUUACGUUGAAAAGUGAGCGGAUGAACUGAGGGUAGCGGAGAAAUUCCAAUCGAACCUGGAGAUAGCUGGUUCUCUCCGAAAUAGCUUUAGGGCUAGCCUCAAGUGAUGAUUAUUGGAGGUAGAGCACUGUUUGGACGAGGGGCCCCUCUCGGGUUACCGAAUUCAGACAAACUCCGAAUGCCAAUUAAUUUAACUUGGGAGUCAGAACAUGGGUGAUAAGGUCCGUGUUCGAAAGGGAAACAGCCCAGACCACCAGCUAAGGUCCCAAAAUAUAUGUUAAGUGGAAAAGGAUGUGGCGUUGCCCAGACAACUAGGAUGUUGGCUUAGAAGCAGCCAUCAUUUAAAGAGUGCGUAAUAGCUCACUAGUCGAGUGACACUGCGCCGAAAAUGUACCGGGGCUAAACAUAUUACCGAAGCUGUGGAUUGUCCUUUGGACAAUGGUAGGAGAGCGUUCUAAGGGCGUUGAAGCAUGAUCGUAAGGACAUGUGGAGCGCUUAGAAGUGAGAAUGCCGGUGUGAGUAGCGAAAGACGGGUGAGAAUCCCGUCCACCGAUUGACUAAGGUUUCCAGAGGAAGGCUCGUCCGCUCUGGGUUAGUCGGGUCCUAAGCUGAGGCCGACAGGCGUAGGCGAUGGAUAACAGGUUGAUAUUCCUGUACCACCUAUAAUCGUUUUAAUCGAUGGGGGGACGCAGUAGGAUAGGCGAAGCGUGCGAUUGGAUUGCACGUCUAAGCAGUAAGGCUGAGUAUUAGGCAAAUCCGGUACUCGUUAAGGCUGA